GCCAGUAAUGUGUUCACGGGUCGUACAGACCGCAACGGUUCUUCCACCAUCCAACUAUAUUACCAUCCAACUAGCUGCUUUGCUUAUCAUCUGAACUUCCUGAAGCCAAUGGUUCAGUUGUUGGUAAUGGCUCAACUUUCUAAUCUCACCUGCAGAAAGAGUUCCAAGAUUUAGUUCAUAUUUUGUAUAGCAAGCAAGUCAAGAUUUAUAUUUGCUGAUGCAGUUUUUGAUGCAAGAUAUAUAGCCUUCAUCUUCUUUGUGCAAUCGUACUUUCUUUAUUGUUGCAUGGUUCUUCCCUCCAAAAAGAUCAUUUGGUAUUUUGAAAAUGAAAUGAAGAAUAUUGCAGAAGUUGCCUAUCCAAUGAACAAGCAAUUAAAGAUUAUUAUAGCGUGCAUGACAACUUUGUUCGAGACAGUGUUUUGAUUGAUGAUCUUUUGGAGAGAUAUGAUCAAGAUGAAGACUAUAUACCCAAUGUUCAUGAAGUAUCUUCAUUAGGACAUGAAGAGAGCGAUACAAGUGUUUUCUUAACAGUAUUGCUAAUGCUUUGAUGUUCAUGAGAGGAUAGGUGACAUGUAAUGUUCCUUAUCAUCAUUUUGUAAUUUUCUAAUUGAUGGAAUGAUCACAAUCUAUA